UGGAUGGCGCUUCAGCGUCGAGCCCAUACCCGGCCGUCGCGGCUGUAGGUACUUGUGCUUUAUGCCGCGACGAGUAGGAGGGCGCAGGGGUGUGCGUUGAAGGUUCCGGGCGCGAGCCCGUCUGGAGCCGCCCCUGGUGCAGAUCUUGGUGGUAGUAGCAAAUACUCAAGUGAGAACCUUGAGGACUGAGGUGGAGAAGGGUUCCAUGUGAACAGCAGUUGAACAUGGGUCAGUCGGUCCUAAGGGAUAGGAGAAAUCCGUUCCGAAGCGGGACCUUUACUUNAUUGUUGUUGGUCCCGCCG
rnacentral:rRNA from 1 species